AUUGAACGCUGGCGGAACGCUUUACACAUGCAAGUCGAACGGUAGAGGGGGCAACCCCUCGAGCGUGGCGAACGGGUAAGUAAUAUAUCGGACCGUGCCCAGUCGUGGGGGAUAACGUAGCGAAAGCUACGCUAAUACCGCAUACGAUCUAAGGAUGAAAGCGGGGGAUCGCAAGACCUCGCGCGAGUGGAGCGGCCGCUAUCAGAUUAGGUAGUUGGUGGGGUAAAGGCUCACCAAGCCAACGAUCUGUAGCUGGUCUGAGAGGACGACCAGCCACACUGGAACUGAGACACGGUCCAGACUCCUACGGGAGGCAGCAGUGGGGAAUUUUGGACAAUGGACGCAAGUCUGAUCCAGCCAUUCCGCGUGCAGGAUGAAGGCCCUCGGGUUGUAAACUGCUUUUGUACGGAACGAAAAGGUCUCUCUUAAUACGGGGGGCUCAUGACGGUACCGUAAGAAUAAGCACCGGCUAACUACGUGCCAGCAGCCGCCGUAA
rnacentral:rRNA from 1 species